rnacentral:misc_RNA from 1 species
AAGUCGUAACAAGGUCUCCGUAGGUGAACCUGCGGAGGGAUCAUUACACAACAAAAUAUGAAGGCCUGGCUUCGCGGCCGGCUGAAAUAUUUUUUCACCCAUGUCUUUUGCGCACUUGUUGUUUCCUGGGCGGGUUCGCCCGCCACCAGGACCAAACCAUAAACCUUUUUUUUUAUGCAGUUACCAUCAGCGUCAGUAAAAACAAUGUAAUUAAUUACAACUUUCAACAACGGAUCUCUUGGUUCUG